rnacentral:rRNA from 1 species
GACGAACCGUGCGAACGUUGUUCGGAAUCACUGGGCUUAAAGGGCGCGUAGGCGGGCAUCAUAGUCAGGGGUGAAAUCCUCCAGCUCAACUGGAGAAGUGCCUCUGAUACUGGGUGCCUCGAGGGGUGCAGGGGGCGUGCGGAACUUCCGGUGGAGCGGUGAAAUGCGUAGAUAUCGGAAGGAACACCGGUGGCGAAGGCGGCACGCUGGACACCUUCUGACGCUGAGGCGCGAAAGCCAGGGGGAGCAAAACGGGG